rnacentral:rRNA from 1 species
CGCAGCCGCGGUAAUUCCAGCUCCAAUAGCGUAUAUUAAAGUUGUUGCAGUUAAAAAGCUCGUAGUUGAAUUUCGGGAUCAAUUUAUCGGUCGUGCCUAUGGUAUGAACUGGUACAAUUGGUUUCUCCCUUCUGACGAAGCAUGAUGUCAUUAAUUUGGUGUCGUGGGGAAUCAGGACUGUUACUUUGAAAAAAUUAGAGUGUUUAAAGCAAGCAUUAGCUUGAAUACAUUAGCAUGGAAUAAUGAAAUAGGACGUUUGAUCCUAUUUCGUUGGUUUCUAGGAUCGACGUAAUGAUUAAUAGGGAUAGUUGGGGGCAUUAGUAUUCAAUUGUCAGAGGUGAAAUUCUUGGAUUUAUUGAAGACUAACUACUGCGAAAGCAUUUGCCAAGGAUGUUUUCAUUAAUCAAGAACGAAAGUUAGGGGAUCGAAGACGAUCAGAUACCGUCGUAGUCUUAACCAUAAACUAUGCCGACUAGGGAUCGGAUGAUGUUAAUUUUUUAAUGACUCA